ACAUCCAGCGAACUUGGCAGAGAUGCCUUGGUGCCUUCGGAACGCUGAGACAGGUGCUGCAUGGCUGUCGUCAGCUCGUGUUGUGAAAUGUUGGGUUAAGUCCCGNAACGAGCGCAACCCUUAUCCUUUGUUGCCAGCGAUUCGGUCGGGAACUCAAAGGAGACUGCCGGUGAUAAACCGGAGGAAGGUGGGGAUGACGUCAAGUCAUCAUGGCCCUUACGAGUAGGGCUACACACGUGCUACAAUGGCGCAUACAAAGAGAAGCGACCUCGCGAGAGCAAGCGGACCUCAUAAAGUGCGUCGUAGUCCGGAUCGGAGUCUGCAACUCGACUCCGUGAAGUCGGAAUCGCUAGUAAUCGUGGAUCAGAAUGCCACGGUGAAUACGUUCCCGGGCCUUGUACACACCGCCCGUCACACCAUGGGAGUGGGUUGCAAAAGAAGUAGGUAGCUUAACCUUCGGGAGGGCGCUUACCACUUUGUGAUUCAUGACUGGGGUGAAGUCGUAACAAGGUAAGCGUAGCGAG
rnacentral:rRNA from 1 species